rnacentral:tRNA from 1 species
GCCGGGGUGGUGAAACUGGCAGACGCGCCGGACUCAAAAUCCGGUGGAGCUUAAACUCCGUGAGGGUUCAACUCCCUCCUCCGGCA